rnacentral:rRNA from 3 species
AUAGCGUAUAUUAAAGUUGUUGAGGUUAAAAAGCUCGUAGUUGAACCUUGGGCCUAGCCGGCCGGUCCGCCUCACCGCGUGCACUGGCUCGGCUGGGUCUUUCCUUCUGGAGAACCGCAUGCCCUUCACUGGGUGUGCCGGGGAACCAGGACUUUUACUCUGAACAAAUUAGAUCGCUUAAAGAAGGCCUAUGCUCGAAUACAUUAGCAUGGAAUAAUAGAAUAGGACGUGUGGUUCUAUUUUGUUGGUUUCUAGGACCGCCGUAAUGAUUAAUAGGGACAGUCGGGGGCAUCAGUAUUCAAUUGUCAGAGGUGAAAUUCUUGGAUUUAUUGAAGACUAACUACUGCGAAAGCAUUUGCCAAGGAUGUUUUCAUUAAUCAGGAACGAAAGUUAGGGGAUCGAAGACGAUCAGAUACC